rnacentral:rRNA from 1 species
GACGAACGCUGGCGGCGUGCUUAACACAUACAAGUCUAACGGUAAGGCCCUUCGGGGUACACGAGUGGCGAACGGGUGAGUGACACGUGGGUGAUCUGCCCUGCACUUCGGGAUAAGCCUGGGAACCGGGGUCUAAUACCGUAUAUGACUCCGGACUGCAUGGGCUGGGGUGUAGAGCUGGUGCGGGGUGGGAUGGGCCCGCGGCCUAUCAGCUUGUUGGUGGGGUGAUGGCCUUCCAAGGCGGCGACGGGUAGACGGCCUUAUGGGGUGAACCGACACACUGGGACUGAGAUACGGCCAGCCUCCUACGGGAGGCAGCAGUGGGGAUUAUUGCACAAUGGGCGCAAGCCUGAUGCAGCGACGCCGCGUGAGGGAUGGCGGCCUUCCGGUUGUAACCCUCUUUCAGCAUCGACGAAGCGAUAGUGACGGUAGGUGCAGAAGAAGGACCGGCCAACUACGUGCCAGCCGCCGCAGUAA